rnacentral:misc_RNA from 1 species
GAUGAAGAACGUAGUGAAAUGCGAUAAGUAAUGUGAAUUGCAGAAUUCAGUGAAUCAUCGAAUCUUUGAACGCACAUUGCGCCCGCCAGUAUUCUGGCGGGCAUGCCUGUUCGAGCGUCAUUUCAACCCUCAAGCCCCCGGGCUUGGUGUUGGGGAUCGGCGUGCCCUCGCGGCGCGCCGUCCCCUAAAUCUAGUGGCGGUCUCGCUGUAGCUUCCUCUGCGUAGUAGCAACACUCGCACUGGAUCGCAGCGCGGCCACGCCGUUAAACCCCCCACUUCUGAAAGUUUGACCUCGGAUCAGAUAGGAAUACCCGCUGAACUUAAGCAUAUCAAUAAGCGGAGGA